GGGGAUGUGUUGAUUUGACAGGAUGAGUACUUUAACAACUUGCAAGCCGAGCUGAUUAACUCGCUAAACUUAUCAAAAAAUCUAAUUGCAGAGGAUAAAACCCUUGCAGCUUUGAAGUCCCGUUUGCGCGGGAUGGAAGAGGCCUUAAUGGCAAAGCGCUUCGCAGCUCGCGCUGCUUUUGCUUACGCUUAAAGGCUGUUUAUAGGUCUUUCACUCGAUGAAGAUUUAUAGGCACAAACAAAGUCGAGGCGUCAGAUAAAGAAUCUAGCCUGAUCUUUAUCGGAGAAAUAAGGCAAUCCUUAAUGAUAAGGAUAGGUAAACUAUCUUCGAUUUGUUAGUUUAAUGUCAUUAAGUAUCAAACUAACUAAGCUUGUGAAUGAAGUUGUUUUGCUCGCUUUCUGGACGAGGGGUCACCCCCCUCCAUCUCCACCA
rnacentral:tmRNA from 2 species